GUCUACGGCCACACCACCCUGAACGUGCCUGAUCUCAUCUGAUCUCGGAAGCUAAGCAGGGUCGGGCCUGGUUAGUACGUGGAUGGGAGACCACCUAGGAAGACCAGGUGCUGUAGGUG
rnacentral:rRNA from 1 species